CCCUUAGAUGUCCUGGGCCGCACGCGCGUUACACUGAUGCACUCAACGAGCUUAUAACCUUGGCCGAGAGGCCUGGGCAAUCUUGUUAACGUGCAUCGUGAUAGGGAUAGAUUAUUGAAAUUAUUAAUCUUGAACGAGGAAUUCCUAGUAAACGCAGAUCAUCAAUCUGCAUUGAUUACGUCCCUGCCCUUUGUACACACCGCCCGUCGCACCUACCGAUUGGAUGGUCCGGUGAAGCCUCGGGAUUGUGGUUCUUGCCGCUUUAUUGUGGCGUGACCGCGAGAACUUGUCUAAACCUUAUCAUCUAGAGGAAGGUGAAGUCGUAACA
rnacentral:rRNA from 1 species